UUCUUCUUCUUCUCUUGAGGUGGAAUGGACUCUUGCUCAUUAGCAGAUGUCUUCACCCAUGAGGUUCUUCUCUCUGGAACAUUUUCCAGCUUAUACUGUUCUUUAUGGCACAUUUCUUUGGAAAAAAAACACACACCGAGAUUCUAUAAAAUACUUUUAAAAUUCUAUAUUUUCUUCCAGUAUUUUCUUGACAUUUCCCUAUUUUUCACGUAUUUGGAACCUUUUUAGGCCACUUUCUAUUUUAGAGGAACUUUUCUUUGCAACAAUCUUAGGUUGAAUCUUUUUUUUCUUUUUUGGUCUGUUUUUUUGUUUUUCUCAUUCGUUUUCUGUUCCUUCUACUUUUGUAUGUUUUGCCUGUCAGGGUGGUGGAUACCUGGUUGUAUCUCUUCAUUUUUUAAAUUUUGCCCAUCGGGGCGGUGGAUACCUGCUUUUAAUUUUUUACCCCCCUUAGCCCAUCGGGGCCUCGGAUACCUGCUGUGUACCUUUCUCCCCCAAAUUUCUGGCCCAUCGGGGCAACGGAUACCAGCUAUUCAAAAAUAUAUAUAUUUUUGGCUCAUCGGGGCCUCGGAUACCUGCUUUUAUUUUUUUUUUUGCCUUGCCCAUCGGGGCCUCGGAUACCUGCUUUAAUUUUUUUGUCUUGCCCAUCGGGGUCGUGGAUACCUGCUUAGAUUUUUUUUUUUUUUUUUUUGCUCAAAAACUGAUUGUUUUCUGUGGUUAUACUAUCUGGAAUGUCUACAGAUUUUUGCUGCUAAUCGUUUGGUGUUGUGUGAGUGGAUCUACGGCUUGGCUGGGAGAUGACUUUGCAGUUAGGCUAAGGGGCUAGUUAGGCUGUGGAGGAAAUAUGGCGACCUGCCACUUUAAGAUUGCUAUGUGGCUCUGCUUAUGGUCGAGCUCAGUAUCAACUAGGGAGCAAUAGGAAGACCGGGACAGGCAGAGGCAGUUAUAUGUAUUGCGUGAGCUAAAUAUUCUGAAUGAACUGAUCUGGGGCUUCUUUGGAGCUUAGCAUGAAUAAGAAUAGGGUCCCGUGUCAGAUUACAAGGGGGCUAAUUGAAAGUGAGAGGAGAGGGAAAAGACCUAAGGGCAGGGUUUAAAAUGGCGACUUGACUUUGCAGUAUUGCUCAGCAUGGCUUCCAGCUUUGUUAGUGUCCAAAAUGGCGUGUGCAAUUUUGCCGCAGUGUUCCAGUGGCGGGAAGGCCACAUCAUGGUGGUGUCUUUGUUCUAGUGCGCAGCAUGGUGGUAGAAAUGCUCUGUUACAAGUUGUAAAAUGGCGGCGAAAAUUCUUGCUGAAGUGUAAAACAUGGCGGGACUGGACUUUUGCCGCAUACAUUUCCUGACAGGUUUUGUCGCAGGGACAAUAUGGCAGUCCUUGUCAUGUAGAUGUAAUGGCAGUUUGUCACGUGGACGUCCUGGCGGGGCGUUUUUUGCGCGGUACAUUCUUGGCGGGCUUUGCUCCAGGUGGGCCUGCAGCAUUGUUAAAGAUGGCGAACAUUUCCGCAUUUGCUGCAAAAAGUGAAAGUGGGAUGGUCAGUGUUGGUUGUCACGUGACCCACCCAAUCAGAUAGGGUGGUACAGUUGGAUUUAGCCAAUGAAUGGAGGAUGGAGUUAAACCAAUUUAGCUUGGGUCCUCGAGGGCCAUCAUUAUUCAGCCAAUCAGGAGGUAGAAGCAGAAGUGCCACUUUCUUAAGUCUGCUCCCAGCAGGUGGUGCCCAAGGUCUUUCCAAGGACACUUGGCCUUUCCAGCUCCCUCCCCUCUUACCAGCUCCCUCCCCUCUUACCAGCUCCCUCCCCUCCAGCACUGCCAUUUGCCAUGCUGGGUAAAUAGUUGCAUGGUUGAGCUUCACCCCAUUAUUCUGCAUUGGAACUGUGGCCUAAGGCUAGUCUACCCCGUGGCCUCUGCUCAUUACACUAUAGGAGCAGUGCUCCAUGCCUGCUAAGUGUGAAUAUGGCAGAGAGUCGUGGCAAGGACCAAAAUGGAUCUCAGAUGAUCAUUGGCCAACAGGUGACAGAGGAAUCCCUGCAUUCUUCAAGAGGAACCCCUACCCCGUGGCUAAUGCUGGGGUUGGAAUUUGAUAUCUACUUAUUUUUUGGAUGUCAGUCAUAAAUAGUUCGAUUAUGUGUUUUGCUAGGUUUAGAUACAAGCCUCAAGUAACUAUUAUGGCUUUGUAUGUAGAAUUUAUUUCAAUUACAUUUAAUGUGUAAUUGUUCUUUAAAAUUUCCAAUUUCUUUAUAAGUGGCUUAAGCUUUCCCUUUUUUCUGAUUUAAGAUAUCCAAAGUCAAAUAAGUUGGCAUUAAGUUUUUUCAAUAAUCUUUUACUUUCAAGUACACUUAAACUACUUCACUUUGGAUUUUUGAACAGUCUUAUAGCACAGUUAAUUAAAAGUUAACUUUAUGACCGAAUACAAAAAAAAAUCUGAAGGUCCAUUCUAGUCUAGGCCUUGCUUUGUUCCCAUCUUUAAUGCUGCACAAAUUGACUAAUGACCAACCUAUCAGGCAGGAAACUAGAAUUGCUCUAGACUUGUUUCCUCUAUUCAGACUUAUGCUGGAGCAUUAAAUGCCCACAUUUUCAAUUUUCUGUGGUAACCUGCCUCCAGAGUCCCGAGCCCUGCUCCCAGAACUAUUCCAUUUAGCCCUAGUCUUUCCAAAUCUGCCCUCACUAGCCCCGGCCCCAGCCCCAGCCCCAGCCCCAGCCCCGGCCCUAACCCUGGCCCCGGCCCCAGCCCCAGCCCCAGCCCCAGCCCCGGCUCCGGCCCCGGCCCUGGCCCCAGCCCCGGCCCCUGCCCCAGCCCCAGCCCCAGCCCCAACCCUGGCCCCAGCCCUCUACCUCUCCCUAAAUCCACUCCAAUUAUUGAUUCAAUACUAAAAAUAAGUCAUCUCUCAUCAUCCCUUGUUCAUCUGUUUGAAUGUGAUGCCUUACCUGCCUCUAGUAUUGCCGAUGUUUGAUGCUGACUGAGUCAUCAUUUUCAAUUAAUGUACAAAAUUCCAUUUGUCCAUUGUCCCAUGUUAGAACAAAGAAGUCUAUACACCAUUACAUUAGGAAAUGUUAAUUAAUCAAGAGUUUCAUAUCAGACAAUUGUCCUUAAUUCUAGUUACUACUCACUUUCUCAAUCCCCUGCCCUUUAAGAGAGGAGAAACCAUUCCUCUGUCAUUGCUGCAGUAGUCACAGUACCAACUCUUUUGGCAGUGUUCAAAUACUGUGCUGACCACCUAAACUCUUUGCACUGAGUAAAAUUCUAAUUAUCCAUGAUCCUGCCUGUCGUAUUACAUUCCAAUUAAAAACACUUGCAUACUGCAGUGGAUGCAGAAAACCCAAGUCUUUGCUCAACAGUUAACGUGCUCAGUCCCAGUUGCCAUAGCCUUGUCCAAAACCACCCUACUUACCAUCGUUGCCCCGUGCCUGAGGAGUCCUGCUGUUCUGAGACAAGUAAAAAACCAAAAUGUAAUUCUGCAUUGUCUCACCUGCAAUCAGCGAUCCUCCGUACCUUUUGUAUUGCAACGAGGCAGUGCCAUCUGAGACCAUGUUCCGUGAAUAAGUAAUCAGUAGAAUUCCAGUUGGCUGUGUCCCUGUUAAUUACAGAAAUCCUUUGCAACUUCGGGCUAUUGCAGAGAUGUUAAUGCUCAAGGCCCUUUACUUUGGAAUAUUAAUGGAUACAAUUGUUCAUGGUCCUGCCUAACAGGUAAGACCCACCCAUACUCUUUUCAUUACUUACAAGCUUUAAGAAUAUGUAAAACACUCAUUGCUCAUAGUCCCUCCCACCCAUUAGUUUAGGAUAUCCCUAAUCUCUGUAGCAUUGUACUUUCUCUUAAAGAGUUGAUAUGCAUAAUUGCAUAUAUUCAUACUCCUGUGCAAUUAAAAAAAACCCAAAAAACCGAAUCCUACCCCAUCACACCAUCUAGGAUAUUGCUAAGGAGUGAUUUAUUCAAGAAAUUAGCACUUGGACAGUAAAAUUUCACAGUUAUAGUUUUUACUGGCUAGAGUACUGUUUAUUUGAAAGGUCCACUAUAUCCCAUGUAGUAGCUGUAAUAUUGGCCUGAAACUCGAGGACCCUUCACUUGAAUUAAUAAUAUCCAUAAUUGCUUUUAUCCACGUCUGAACUAGCCACAGCCAUUCCCUUAGAAUUCCAGCAGGGGACCUUGAGUACUCAAGAACGAUGCACUAGGACAGAUUACGUUCACAAUUCUAAUUGAUUAGUAGUGACCAUUGUGUUGGGAAUGAAGCACCACUUUACAUCUGAAAAGUGAUACUUAAGGCUCCUGCCACAAAUUCCGUGCAAGAUUGUGGGCCCGGAUGUCUCCUGUUAAUUUGGAUCCAUUGCAUACCUAACUCUCUUAAAUUACCACAGAGGGUACUUGGAACUGUUAAUGUGCUCAAAUGCCACUACAGUACUUAAUAUUACUAAAGAAUCUACCCAUGAUGAUUUUGUACUGAAAGAGAAAGUCCUUGGGGCAGUUAAUGUAUAUAAAUGCCACUGCUGUUCUUUUGUUACUUAGAACCCACUGAUCCUCACUUUGCAUUAAAACCGGGCCCCUUGGAAAAAUAAAUGUGCUUAAAUGCCACUGCUGUACUUUAUUCUUUUUUUAAUCCCCAUGCAAAGACAUUUUUCAUUGCUUUGAAAAAGAAAAGGAAGAAACAUCCCAUGCAAGAGAAAAACAUCAAUUGGCUGCUUCCUGUACAGGCUUUGACAAGGGAUUGAAUACACAACCCAGGUAUAUAUUGCCUUGACUGGAGAUGGAACCAGCAAUCUUUUGUUUUAAGGGACUAAGCUCCAACUCGCUGAGCCAUACUAGCCAGGACACCACUGCUGCUCUUAUGGUAGUACGAAGCCCACCCAUUAAAACAGGGUCCUUGGGACAGUUAAUAUGCUUAAAUGCCACUGCUGCACUUUGUUCUUUUUUCUUUAUCCCUGCUCGAGGAUAUUUUUUCAUUGCUUUUGAAAUCAAGAGGAAGGGAGAGUGAGAGAAACAUCGAUGUGAGAGAGAAGCACUGAUCAGCUGUCUCCUGCACACUCUCCAACAAGGGAUCCAAUACACAACUCAGGUAUAUAUGCUCUGACUCGAGAUGGAACCAGAAACAUUUCUGUUUACUGAGCGAACCUCCAACUCAGUGAUCCACACCGGCCAGGGCACCACUGAUGCUCUUACGAUACUGCAGAAUCCACCCAUCCUCAUUUCGCAUUAAAACAGGGUCCUUUGGGCAGUCAAUGUGCCUAAUGGCACUGCCUCUCUUAUGUAACUAUGGACCCACCCAUCCUCACUUUGCAUUAAAACAGGGUCCUUUGGGCAGUUAAUGUGCCUAAUGUCACUGCCUCUUAUGUAACUAUGGAUCCACCCAUCCUCAUUUUGCAUUAAAACAGGGUCCUUUGGGCAGUUAAUGUGCCUAAUGCCAUUGCCUCUGUUAUUACUAUAGAAUACAUAUCCUCACUUUGUAUUAAAAUGGGUCCUUGGGGCAGGUAAUGUGCCUUUUGCCACUGCCGCUCUUGUUUUACCAUGGAGCCCACCCAUCCUCACUUUGCAUUAAAACGGGUCCUUUGGGCAGUUAAUGUGCCUAAUGCCAUUGCCACUGUUAUUACUAUAGAAUACAUAUCCUCACUUUGUAUUAAAAUGGGUCCUUGGGGCAGGUAAUGUGCCUUUUGCCACUGCCGCUCUUGUUUUACCAUGGAGCCCACCCAUCCUCACUUUGCAUUAAAACGGGUCCUUUGGGCAGUUAAUGUGCCUAAUACCAUUGCCACUGUUAUUACUAUAGAAUACAUAGCCUCACUUUGUAUUAAAAUAGAGGGUCCUUGGGGCAGGUAAUGUGCCUUUUGCCACUGCCGCUCUUGUUUUACCAUGGAGCCCACCCAUCCUCACUUUGCAUUAAAACGGGUCCUUUGGGCAGUUAAUGUGCCUAAUGCCAUUGCCACUGUUAUUACUAUAGAAUACAUAUCCUCACUUUGUAUUAAAAUAGAGGGUCCUUGGGGCAGGUAAUGUGCCUUUUGCCACUGCCGCUCUUGUUUUACCAUGGAGCCCACCCAUCCUCACUUUGCAUUAAAAUGGGUCCUUUGGGCAGUUAAUGUGCCUAAUGCCAUUGCCACUGUUAUUACUAUAGAAUACAUAGCCUCACUUUGUAUUAAUAUAGAGGGUCCUUGGGGCAGAUAAUGUGCCUUCUGCCACUGCCUCUCAUGUAACUGGAGCCCACCCAUCCUCACUUUGCAUUAAAACAGGGCUCUUGGGGCAGUUAAUGUGCCUUUUGCCAUUGCCUGUCUUAUGUAACUGCACCCAUCCAUCCUCUUUGUGCAUUAAAACAGGGUCCUUUGGGCAGUUAAUGUGCCUAAUGCCAUUGCCACUGUUAUUACUAUAGAACACAUGUCCUCACUUCGUAUUAAAAUAGAGGGUCCUUGGGGCAGGUAAUGUGCCUUCUGCCACUGCCUCUCAUGUAACUGGAGCCCACCCAUCCUCACUUUGCAUUAAAACAGGGCUCUUGCAGCAGUUAAUGUGCCUUUUGCCAUUGCCUGUCUUAUGUAACUAUGCACCCACCCAUCUGCAUUAAAACAGGGCCCUUUGGACAGUUAAUGUACCUAAUGCCAUUGUCGCUCUUAUUACUACAGAACACAUGUCCUCACUUCGUGUUAAAAUGGAGGGUCCUUGGUGCAGGUAAUGUGCCUUCUGCCACUGCCGCUCUUAUUUUACUAUGGACCCCAGGUGUCCUCACUUUGCAUUAAAACAGGGCUCUUGGGUCAGUUAAUGUGCCUUCUGCCACUGCCUCUCUUAUGUAACUAUGGACCCACCCAUUCUCAUUUUGCAUGAAAACAGGGUCCAUUGGGCACUUAAUGUGCCUAAUGCCAUUGCCACUGUUAUUACUAUAGAACACACAUAUCUUCGUUUUGUAUUAAAAUAGAGGGUCCUUGAAGCAAUUAAAGUGCCUUCUGCCACUGUCUCUUAUGUAACUCUGGACCCACCCAUCCUCUGCCUGCUUUAAAACAGAGCCCUUGGGGCAGAUAAUGUGCCUAGUGCCACUGCCACUCUUAUUUUACUAUGGACCCCAGCCAUCCUCCUCACUUUGCAUUAAAACCAGGGACCCUGAGGCAGUUAAAGUGCCUUCUGCCACUGCCUCUCUUAUGUAACUGGAGCCCACCCAUCCUCUGCCUGCUUUAAAACAGAGUCCUUGGGGCAGGUAAUGUGCCUAGUGCCACUGCCACUCUUAUUUUACUAUGGACCCCAGCCAUCCUCCUCAUUUUGCAUUAAAACCAGGGACCUUGAGGCAGUUAAAGUGCCUUCUGCCACUGUCUCUUAUGUAACUAUGGACCCACCCAUCCUCACCAUGUAUUAAAAACAUGGCUCUUGGGGCAGGUAAUGUGCCUAGUGCCACUGCCACUCUUAUUUUACUAUGGACCCCAGCCAUCCUCCUCACUUUGCAUUAAAACCAGGGACCCUGAGGCAGUUAAAGUGCCUUCUGCCACUGCCUCUCUUAUGUAACUAUGGACCCACCCAUCCUCACCAUGUAUUAAAAACAUGGCUCUUGGGGCAGGUAAUGUGCCUAGUGCCACUGCCACUCUUAUUUUACUAUGGACCUCAGCCAUCCUCCUCACUUUGCAUUAAAACCAGGGACCUUGAGGCAGUUAAAGUGCCUUCUGCCACUGUCUCUUAUGUAACUAUGGACCCACCCAUCCUCACCAUGUGUUAAAAACAUGGCUCUUGGGGCAGGUAAUGUGCCUAGUGCCACUGCCACUCUUAUUUUACUAUGGACCCCAGCCAUCCUCCUCACUUUGCAUUAAAACCAGGGACCCUGAGGCAGUUAAAGUGCCUUCUGCCACUGCCUCUCUUAUGUAACUAUGGAGCCCACCCAUCCUUAUUUUGCAUUAAAACAGGGUCCUUGGGGCAGUCAAUGUGCCUAGUUCCACUGCUGCUCUUAUUUUACUAUAGACCCCAGCCAUCCUCACUUUGCAUUAGAAGAGGGUCCUGGAGGCAGUUAAUGUGUCUUCUUCCACUGCCUCUCUUAUGUAACUAUGGAGCCCACCCAUCCUCACUUUGCAUUAAAACAGGGUCCUUGGGGCAGUCAGUGUGCUUAUAUGCCACUGUUACCCAUUUUCUCAGUCUGGGACCUCAUUUGCUCCUCCAUGUGCUUUAUUUCAGAAGAUACUUGGGACUGUUAAUAUACUUACAUAUGGCUACAGUCCCUUUUGUUACUCUGGAACCCUGUCUCCCAUCUCUGCGUAUAAUUCUGGGAGCAGAAUUAUUAAUGAAAUGUGCUUAAUUGCAACUGUGGUGCCUUCUGUUGGUGUCUUUUUCCAUCUCUUUCCAGUCUUUGCAUACAGCAGGGAGUGCUUAAGGGUGUUAACAGGCUUCAUUGCAGCUACUGCCCUUUCUGUUAAUCUAGGGUCCCAUACCCUCCAAGUUCAUUUACAUUUACUGGGAGUAUAUUUUCUUUUGUGAAGUGCAGCAGUGGUCCCUGUUCUUUGUUUAGGUUCCCAUCUACCUCCUACUCCUUUACAAUAUCUGGAUGGGCAUUUGGGAUUGUUAAUGUACUUAAUCGGAGCUGUGGUCCCUUCUGUAAUUCCAAGAUCACAUUGUCCUUUUCCCUUUACAUUACCAAGGAGGGUUUUGGGGACUGUUAAAAGUGGUCAGUUGGAGCCGCUGUCCCUCGUGUUAGUCUAGGAUCCCCCAUGCUCCAACUCACUUUGCAUUACUACAGUAUUAUAGUUGGGACUGUUAAUGUGCUUUAAAGGCAGCUACAGUCCGAGCUAAAUGCUCCUAAACAUCUUUUGGUUAAAUGCAGGUUUAGUCUCUUGUUAGUUUAAGAACAUACUAUCUUUAACUUCUGUCAUUUGGGACUUAACAAUUUUAAUUGUAGCUGUGGUCCCUUCUGUUAAUCUUCCUUCACAAUACAGGAUACUUGGGACUGUGAAGGUGUAUUCCUCCCUGUUACAUCUGUUAUUCUUACAGAAGAGGUUCUGAACACCAAGAUCCCUACUUUUGCACCGUUGAUGUGCAGUAUUGCUUUUGUACAUCCGUCUCUGCAGGGGAUAUAGACCUAACUCAUCUUCCUUGUGUUCAGCAGUGGAUGCCCUUUACUAAGGACCUUCGUACUAGUAAAAGUGAAUCAUGAUAACUGAUCACAACUAUGUCUCAUUUAAGACCUCUGUACCCUCUUCAUUUUACAAGACUGUUAAUUAGCUUUUACUUUUUUUCUGGGACUAUUUAUGUGCAAAAUUCAAUGCUUGGAAAGUUCAUGUGCACAAAUGUAAUUUUAUAAGCAUAUCUCAUACCAGAAUGACUGGACCCUCUUUGCUUUAGUACAACGAGGUGUUAUUCAGCUAAUAACCCCUCUUUUUGGAUUUCAGUGUUCAUAAUUGCAAUUGUCCAUCUCUUUUGUUGGAGUACAAUUAUGUCCCCUUAUUCCCCUUUACAUUAGGGGCAUGUUAACUAUUAAUGAGCUCUUUUCUUGAGAUUAUUAAUGUGCAUAAUUAAUUGUAUUUGUCUGUGGACUUGUGCAGUAGUGGGAAAGGAUCCUCUGUGCCCCUACCACUGCCUUUGAAUUACUGCUGAGCAGUGGAAUUACGACAUCAGCUCUUGAAUAGUUAUCCAAAGUACUGAUUAUUAUGUAGGACCCCUAUACCUUUGUAUACAUCAAGGAUAAUGACUCACCAAGGUCCCUUUUUUGGACUGUUAAUUUUAAUAUUUGCAAUUACCUAUGCCCCCUUCUAUUAGAAUAGGAUAUGAUUCCCUUACACUCUGCAUUACUGCAGGGGCUGCUGACCACACAAAACCUCUAGGAAUGUUAAUAGGCACAUAGCAAUUAAAAAUAGGUUUUUCCUCCCUGGCCUUGUUAGGAAAGCAUCCCCAGCCCCAGUUUCCCAUGGCAUCAUAAAGUAUAAACAUGACAAUAUGCUCUGAACUUAUCCUUCAAACAGCAAUCCAGACUCCCACUCCUUUUCAGAGCAUAAAAUUCCAAGUAGUCCUGGUGUUACCGUCCCUCUCCUGACCUCUUGUCUGUCCUUGGACCCUAAUGGACUAUUAAUAACCAGUUUCAGGUGUCCAUGUAUCCAGCUAUUACAUAAUAUUAUGGGGCCUGCCCCACCCAGCCCUGCCCCGUCCUGCCCCGUCCUGCCCCGUCCUGCCCCGUCCUGCCCCGUCUUGCCCCGUCUUGCCCCGUCCUGCCCCUUUUGUAUUAUUGGUGAGGAUUGUUGACUUGGUCAAAGCCCUUUCACUUGGACUUAGAGGUAUGUUAACAAUCCCGGAUGUCAUUGGUUUAACCAGUUUGUAUUUCUCUGGUGCUUCAGUUGCACUUUCCUUGGUCCCGCCCAUCUAACAUGAACCCCUCCACUUUUUUGCAUUGCUUCUAAACAAUGCUGACUACCUCAAGGCCCUUCUGUGUUGAUUAAUACAGUAAUGAUUGUUCAAUUUUUUCAGACUAUCAGCCCAAACUCUCCCUACCACUUUGAUGUAUUGUUUGUGCAGUGUUGAUUAUUACCAAAAGCAGGCCUGAACUAGGUAUUAUUAGGUGGGCCUUCACACCUUUUCUUGAAUUUGUUAAUGACCCAAAUUCCAAUUAUUGUCCCAUUCUUGGGAACAGGAGCUAUCCCUGCCCACCUCUGUUACUCAUUACUGGGCAAAAUAUUUAAGGCAAGUCAGGCCCAGGGAGCUGGACCCUUUAUAUUCUUAAUUUUUAAAAAAAUUUAAAAGAUUUUAUUUAUUUGUAGAGAGGGGAAGGGAGGGAGAAAGAGGGAGAGAAACACCAAUGUGUGGCUGCCUCUUGUUCACCCUCUAGUGGGGACCUGGCCCACAACCCAAACAUGUGCCCUGACUGGGAAUCCAACCGCUGACCCCUUGGUUCACAGGCUGGCACUCAAUCCAAUGAGCCACACCAGCCAGGGCUAUAUAUUCUUUAUUUUCUAUAUAUAUGUAAGUAUUAGUUGAGAGUUGUCUCCCCAGGAAGGAACGUUUGCGCUUUCUGCGUUCUUCGUUCCAAAGCAGGUUGUGUGGCCAAGAAUUUCUACUCUCUUAUUGUAUAUUGCUGUUCUGCAGAAUUAAUUGCCAGGGUACAGUAAAAAAGUUCCUGGUUAAUUUUUAUUAAGAAAGACAUGGAUUGCAAAGUGGUAUUGAUAACCUGGUCAUUAAGUUCUUGAAGUUAAAAAUAUAUCAUGUAUCUGAUGACCAGUGUCUCUCAUUUUACUAAGGGUGGUGAGUCUGUGGAUAGACCACUGUGACACUUAAGACCAGUAUUUUUGGGCUCUACCACCAUUUUAAAAAUAUGCCUUGUUUGGGCCACACAACCAUUCACUUUUAGAAAAACUACCUAAAAUUUUGAAUCCUUAAAUUUAUUCAUCUGAAACACCAACCAGCCCCUACUUAUUUCAAGAUCAGUGUAAAAGAAUGAAAUGAGACAACACAUGGAAGUGCUUUUGAAAACCAUAGAUAACCUUAUUUGAUUAACAUAUUACAUAAAAUAUGCCCUGUUUGAUUGUGCUUGUCUUAAGUAUUCUUAAGCACCACACUGAAGAGAGGACUUAAAAAUGAUGGCACCUGUUUCCCUGUAUUAUAUCACAAGAAAAAUAAGCCAAGAUGUAAUCAGUCUUGUGGAUGUAAAUUUCAACAGUGAGCUGCCUGGUAAAGGUGAAUAGCCUAGCCUCUAGUAUGCAGGUUGUGGUGGCAGAGAAGCAUUUAAUAAGGAACUGCUGAAGCAAAUAACUAGUUACAACAACAGCAGUUCUUUGUGAUCACUUGAAAAGGGUACUAUUCCUCUGAACAGGAUGUCAAAUGGUCAGCCCAGGUUAGGGUGCAGUUUGCAUUACUAGCUCCUUGGACAGCUGUAAGAAGAGUCUCUGGCUCUUUAGAAUACUCAGGUACCUUGGAAAGCAAAAAAGCUUAGCCUCUCUGAUAAAACAAAGGGAUGAAUUCAGAGCCAGUUCUGAACCCCUACUCAGGAAGCAUGAGUCAAUUUUAGGUGGAUUGAAGUCUGCACUAGAAAGCAUUCAAAGGACAAUAUGAGCAUGUAAGACCUGAGGAAUCCAAGCAGUUCUAAGAAGCUCUGUAUUCAGCAGAUCUUUCUUCUGAGAAUCUGGAUGAGCUUCAUCUAAUCUAAAGGUGCCUUGUAGGUCACCUGGACAAAAAGAUCUUCUUCAGAAGAAUAGGCUUGUUGCUUUACAGUGUUAGUGACCCAUUCCCUUUGACGAUCCCUAGGUGGAGAUGGGGCAUGAGGAUCCUCCAAGGGAAAAGCUCACUAUCACUGGGCAACAAUCCUAGGCUAGGAGUUUCUACCAAGAUUCUUUCUUGCGCCCAGAUAGGAAGGUGAAGUCUCAAGAUCUCCACACGUUAUAGCUCCUGAUUGUUUCCUUCAUAUCUACCAAGUUAUCUUUCUCAAAAGCAAAGCAGAGGACAAGAAAUUUGAACACACCAAAGGAAGAUUAACAUGCCUGGCACUGUAGCAUUUUAGAACAGCAGAAUGAACUCUUGUUCCCCGCAGUGUAUGUUUUGUCCUCUACUUGUUACCCAUUUCUUCUAAAUGUCUGCCUUGGCUUAUCUCUUUCAUUCAUAAGUGUGUAUUUCUUUGCUUGUCUAUUUCUUCUUUGAAUGUCCUUGGUCUUUGCUCUCUGAAGUGUAUCUUACCCACUUCAUCUUGCUUGUUUGUUCUCUGUGUAUCUUUGUCUGAUUUUCUUUUUUGUCAUAACUUGUUCGUGCCUUGUCUUAGAUGUCUCUCAUUUUUUCAUUUUUUUACUGAUUAUUUUCACUCUCCUAGAUCUGGUUCUUUCACUGUUCUUACCAUUGUGUCUGAGUCACAUGCUGUGUGCUUUUUGUUCAUUCUUUCUCCUACCUACUUCUCUCUCUUUUUUCCCUCUUUGUGAAUUGUGAUUAUUCAUCAUUUUCUCCCCUUUUGUUGGUUUGACAUUUUACCUUUUUCUGAUUCUGGUCUCCCAUCUGCUGUUUCUACUCUUUAUCUUGGAUUUCCCUUUUCUACAUAUCCUUUCUGCCUCUCUUGGCCCAUUUUCAUUCUUUUGUCUGCUCUGUGUGCCUCAGUGUCUCUUUGUUCUUUGUGAUUUUCCAUUUCAGUGCCUUUCCUCUCUUUGUACUCCUAUUUUAUUGCUUUUCUUCUUCUAUCCAGUUUUGGGUUUUUCAGUGUCUUCAUGAGUCUGUGUCUCCCUCUUUCAUAUCCUUCAAUUGUCUUUCCUUGCAUAUUUUUUGUGAACAUGUGUGUAUAUACCUAUGUGUGCAUGUUUGUGUAUGUUUGUGACAAAGGGGUGUCCUAACCCCUUCCCAGUAGGUGCAGAGUGUCUGCUAUCAAAAUAAUCAUUGCAGAACCGUUCCUGAUGCCAGGAUCUCCUGUGAAACAAUCCAAAAUGAAUAGAAGGCCUAAGGAUCCAAAGACCUAAGGGCAGAAAAUGGAAGGCCCAUAAUGGAUAGAAGUCCCAAAAUAGAAGACAAGUGAGCUUGAGACUUGAGACCUGUGAACUAAAAUGGAAAACUGGUGUCCCCAAAUAGAUGGAAACCUCAGGCUUGAGACCAUCAGAAGGCCUGAGAAUCAUGACAUACAUACAGAAGAUGGCCCUUUGUUGAACAGAAGGCCUGACUGAGUUGGUUAGAUGUCUUAAGUCAGACAGAAGGCUGAAGACCCAGGAUGAGUGGCUGAAGGCCUAGGAGCAGGGACACAUGGAAGACCUGAGAUCUGAAACAUAAGGCUCAAUACCAGAGGACAUCCCAAUAUGAGAACCCUAAACCUCAAUUCUUUUCUACUCCUAUUGUCCAUACUCUUGAACAUUUCAAUUCUCUCUUUUUAGUUUUUAUAUCUCCAUUUAAACUCAUUUUGAGAUGCCCUUUUUGAUGUUGUUAUUAUCUUGAAGAGCUAAAUAUUAUGCUGGGGCUAGUGUAAGCCAGUUUUUAUCACAGUUUUGAGUCACUUAUUAAGUUUGAUAUAUUUUUUUAACCUCCAUCUCUCCUCACAUUCACUCCAUUUAAGAGAGACAUAUUGAUGAAAUUGUAUUUCAGUCUUACUUUUUCCUCAGAUGCUCUAGGCUUCUGAGAAGAGGAAAGCAUCAGGUUAUUGAGGAAAACAUGCCAGGCUAUGUAAAGAGAUGCUCCUGAGCAAUGAGAACAAUUAGAGAAGAAAUACACUCAUGUGCUAGCCUGUUCAGAAGCACUAGCCUACAACACCUGACUUCUUUGAGCUUGGGUGAACAGGCUUCCUGGGGUUUGGGAUUCCUAGUGAUGGUUACAAAAAAAGAAUAAGUGGGCCUGGAUCAGAGUGUGGCCCCAAGGAGAUAGCCUGAACUCCCUGCUCAUAGUAGUGGCCUAAUAAUUUGGUAGUCUGCACUAACCCUACCUUUGGAUUUAAUACCAACCUCUAGGUUUAAAGGUGAAAGAAUUUAGCAGUAUUUAGCAGGUUUAAUCCUUUCCUUCCUUUUCCCCCUCUCUUGCCAUGAGGGAAGAUCAUUUAAAUGAUUGAGAUUCUAUAUGAAAGUAAGGUGUUCUCAUUAAUACUCUAUUGGCAACCAUGCAUUGCCAAUAUUUGAAAGAGCACUAAGUUGUGAAGCAUUAUGUACUUCAGGGGUUAUCAUACCCUUUCUGUGAAGGGUCAGAUGUUAAAUAUUUUAGUCUUUGCAGACCAUAUGGUCUCUACAUUUUUUUUUACAAUCCUUUAGAAAGGAAAAAUAUUCUUAGCUUCUUAACCAAGUCGAUUUGGCCUGUGGGCCAUAGUUACCUUUGAUGUAAAUGCCAGGCUCUGUGCUGAAUAAUAUUAAUUUCCUUGUGUGUGAGCCUGUCCUUAUGCUUGGCACUGAGGAAUUAAUGAUUAUUUAUGAUCAUAUCCAGGUGACCUAAAUAAAAAUGUGUGAAUAUGCUUUUUAACUAUGACAGUGCUUAAAAAGCAGACCUAACAAGUUUCAGAGUUGAUGAAUGAAUAUUGAUUACAUAGUAUAUUCAUUCUACUGUAUAGGCACUGGAUGUUCCUUAUAAGAAACAUGAAUAAAGUGCUUUGUCAAAAGUAUGUAAUACUACGCAGAUAUAAGGAAUUAAGUGAUUGACAAAUGGAAAAUUGAUAUAUUUGUAUCCAUAAUGUUUCUGCUCCUUUGGUGAUUUUGAGUAAAACUGCAGUAUCCCAGGUAACAGAAAAGAAAACACAUGGAAACUGCUUUUAAGCUAUAAAAUACACAGCAAACACAAGGGACUAAUCUAUUGUGAUGACUUAUAAUGUGCUAGAUAACAUGCUAAGGCACUAUGGAUAACAAAGGGAGAAAAAAAGCAUAUUCUCAAUAUAGAAUUAAAAGUUUUAGAUGAGUACAUUUUAAAGUGCUUUGUAAACUAAAGCACUAAAUAUCGAUGGACUAAAUGUUUAUGAAUGAAUAAAUAUUAAUAGCCUUUUAUGGGCCAGCUAUUGUUUGGGGUUCUGUGAAAUCUAAAAUAAUGCUCUCAAGUAAUAAGGGGAGCUUUAUGUUCUGCAUUAUUAGAUGUAAGGAAUUAGAUGCUGCUUAUUUUAAUCAGUCAAGACUUAACUGGUGAUGUCAAGUUAUUUCUAGUAUAUUUUCCCAUGUAACUGGAAAAUGUAAUGAAUGAGAUUGAGACUUCUAAACUAUAAAAUGUUACAUAAACACAAGAAAUUAAAUGUUUUCUGUGUGAAUAAAACUGAGAUAAACAUGGUCUACAAAAUUCUCAUUGUGUGCUUGGCCCACUAUGCAAAAGCUAAUAUAAAUAAAUAUACAAACUGAGGGUUUCAAUACUUGUUAAGUGAAUGAAUCUCAGUUGCCUACUAUGUGAGCUCACUGUUGUAGGCACUAAAGAGAUAAACAUGUUAUCAUUUCAUUGUGCCUACAGUUGAGAUAAAGGCAAUACAUGUCAGCAUUUUGUGAACUCUAAAGCACCAUAUAAAUGUAACUACUGGUUUUCUUAUUUGUUGCUGAAUACUAGACUUAUAAAAUUGUAUCACGGUUACCAUACUGUGAAAAAAGUUGGAAAAAAUUUGAGGAAGUAUUGUUAAGUAUUGAGUACUCUGAAUAUGUAAAAGAUUAUGAUGAAUGCAAUACUGGACAAUAAUUAUCUAUUAUGUGCCAGUCUUUUUGCUAGGCAUUAAGGGUCUGAAGAUGAUCCAUCUUUAUUGCAAUUUAUGGGUCUUAAACAGCAGUGCAUACAUAAGCAAUAUCUGCUGAAUGAAAAGGAUGAUUUACUCUCUUCAUUCCCAGAGAUAGCAACUAGUAAUGCAAAAGUUCAUUGCCCUUAUUACUGAACCUACUACAGAGACUUCUGUGUAAGUUUAGAAAACCUAGUAUUCUAUACAGAUAUAAGGAAUUAACUUGGCUUAAUGAAUAAUGACUGAUUACUUUCUAUGAGUCUCAAAAUUACAUAUACCCUUGUAUAUAAAAAUCAUUUUAUCCCUAUGGGAUGUUCACAGGAGGAAAUAAGGUAAUAAGUGUGAAUGAGAUCCACACUAAAAGGCACUUAACCACUGCUAAGUUAUUUAAUGAUGAAAACAUGGAAAAAAUAGAAUCGUACAAUGCAGUAUGCAAUAAAGGCUGGGCUAGGUGGAAAAAUACAACCCAGAUUAAAAGGCUACUUACUCCUCGUUGGCCUGAGUGAAGAGAUGGGAAUUCUUUUUGAAAAAAAAGCAAGGUGUUUUGGUUCUCCAUCAGUUUUUUUUAAAUGCUGAAUGCUUAAGAUGGAGGUGAAUUAGAUCCACCCUGGCCUUGCUUAGAGACAUGUAAGGAAUAAAAAUAAAUGACUCAGGUUUGCUUUUAGAUUUUCUUGACAAACAGCAUGUCUUAUGUGGAAUAGAUAAUUCUAGGUUCUGAACAUAAAAAGUGAAAUGGGCCUGGUCUAGAGGUCUUUAUAUAUAGAUCACAGAUUAUAGUUGAAGAUAUGAAAACAUCUAUGAUUUUGCGUAAAUAUUUGAGGGCCUGAUAUCUGGGAAGUACUAUGCUUACUUAAUUAGUUGUGUAAGUAUAGUUCAGAAAAACCAUUGUUUUGCCUUGGGAAUUAAAAACUAACAAAAAAAGGCAUGGUUCUUUUAAUAUAAAGUGAAGUUAUGUUCUCUAGAACUAGAUAGUCACAACUUCACUUGCUCAUUGGCCUAAGUUGAAGCCAGAAGACUAAUUAAAAGGCUCAUGGUUUGUCCUUUAAUUCAUUAAGAUUGUGCUUUUAUUAUAAACAGUUUAAGAUAAGAUUUGAGAUGAAACAAGUGGUUUUGUAUUUGCUCAUUGGAUUGGCUUAAAGUGAGGAAACCUUUUGAGCAAUAAAAUUGUUCUAGUUUUUCCAUAUAUUUUAAACACUUAUUUACUCUGAUUAAAGUACUGUCCUUAAGUGCUGAGAAGAAUGAAUAGAUUUAAAAGACCAAAAUGUACUUUAAUCUUACUUGCUUUAAUCUAGGUUGAAACAUAAGAAUAAAUUUUAUGACUGCAGGUCUUUUCAUUUGUUAAAAAUUCAUUGAGCAGCUGUGAUAGUAAGAUAUACUGAGAAGGAAUUAUUAAAUAGAUCACCUUUUUGGCAUCUUUCAUAGAGUGGGAAUGAGAGCUUUUUAUUUAUUCAUUCAUACAAACAUUGGAGAAGGUGAUGCUAAAUGAAAUAGAUCUGGUACAAAAGGCACUUUGUCCUGGAGUUGCAAUAAAAAAAAAACAAGGAAUGAAAUGAAAACUAUAAACAGAAGUGUCUAUUUCAAGGCAAUUUGCUAUUUACUAGACAUCAAAAAAGAUCUUCCCUGAAAGUAAUUUGUUUUCUUAACUGGUUUGGAGACUAGAUAUAAAAGAGGUUCCAUUCACUUUUCAUUUGUUCAUUCUACAAGUGUAUUUGAGUAUCUAUUGUAUAUAAGGUCCUUUGUUCUGUACUCAGUUGACCCCAGAAACCUGAAAAUAUGAAAGCUUUCUGAGAGAUUUUUAAAACUUUUGGGUUUUCUUCUUAGGAGUAUGGCUUAGCCCUUGAAUAACAUUGUGUGGUUUAAUUCCUACUCCAUAUUUUUUCUCUCACUCUGGCCACUACAAUAAGCAGGGUUUUCCACUGAGCUUCCUCCUUAAGUUGCAGGAACCCUCCUUAUAGACACUCAUUAUUCCUCUCUUGUCUCAUGAAAAUGGCUGUGGCCACUGCUAGGCAGAAGGAGGGGUGACAACUAAUUCCCAAACCCCAGUCUCAAUGGUACUAGUUUUGGGGAAGCACUCAUACUCAAGUCAUUACCUUUACCAUUUAGUCUAUUUUCAGUUCUUUACAUUUUACAUUGACAGGUAUAUACUGCCUAAAUAAGUCUCUGAAGAACCUUCCCCAGAUAGCAAGAUUGGAGAUGGAGACAUGAUUUCUCUUGCAACAGAUUUUCUACUUAAACCUUAGAUACUGCCUUGAUCAGUAUUAAAACUAGCUCAUGAUUAAUUAAACUUAAGUGAUAUGAAAAAAAAACCUGUUUAUAAAAGGUCUUGUUAUGAUAGAAUAAUGUCGGAAUGAAAAUGGCUUAACAAUUUUUACAUUGCUUAAAUUUUAAGAGUAAUAAGAAUUGGAAGUAAUUGGCAAACACAAACCUAAAUCUAUGCCCAAAUGGGCUUUGACCUUUUCUAUUUUUAAAUCACUCACAGAGGGUGGGAUAGGCGGAAGAGUGAAAGAAAAGGUCAAACCUGUUUCUAAGGGCACCCUGCCUUUGUUUAGAUUGGUUAAGAAACACUUUUUUAGGUGGGGAUGGGGUAUGUUAUUGGAAAAUGCAAAGGAGAAAGUAACUACCAGCCUUCUUUUCGCAGUCGCUGUCAUCCUAAGACUACCUACCACUACUGAUAAAACAAGAAUAAGAGAACAUGGUACCAUCAUCUGAUUUUUGUGACAUAAUGAAGUAGUGAACUAACUCAUUUUUGUAAGAAGUGGCUUCAUCUCUAUCCUUCUACCUCAAAGGGAAUAUAUAUGCCAAAAUGGAAGAAACACUUGGACUGGUGAACUGAUGUGAAUUGUAGAAUCUUUGAGAUUGGACUGUUGAAAAUUUACAAAUCAUGCUCAGCAUAAGUGACCGUCAUAACUAAGAUUAGGGAAUAUGUUUUCUAAUGUCAAAUAAAAUGUACUGUUUUGAAAACUCA